GACGAACGCUGGCGGCGUGCCUAAUACAUGCAAGUCGAGCGGAACUGGGGGAGCUUGCUCCUUCCAGUUUAGCGGCGGACGGGUGAGUAACACGUGGGCAACCUGCCCUGCAGAUCGGGAUAACUCCGGGAAACCGGUGCUAAUACCGAAUAGUUUGGCGCCUCUCCUGAGGCGCUACGGAAAGACGGUUUCGGCUGUCACUGCAGGAUGGGCCCGCGGCGCAUUAGCUAGUUGGUGGGGUAACGGCCCAACAAGGCCACGAUGCGUAGCCGAACUGGGAGGGUGACCGGGCACACUGGGACUGAGACACGGCCCAGAUUCCUACGGGAGGCAGCAGUAGGGAAUCUUCCGCAAUGGACGCAAGUCUGACGGAGCAACGCCGCGUGAGUGACGAAGGUUUUCGGAUCGUAAAACUCUGUUGUGAGGGAAGAACACGUACCAACUAACUGUUGGUACCUUGACGGUACCUCGCCAGAAAGCCACGGCUAACUACGUGCCAGCCGCCGCCGUAA
rnacentral:rRNA from 1 species